rnacentral:tRNA from 1 species
GCUCCGAUAGUGUAGAGGCCAAGCAUCCAGCCCUUUCAAGGCUGAGACCCGGGUUCAAAUCCCGGUCGGAGCG